rnacentral:rRNA from 1 species
UACAGAGACUGCAAGCGUUAUUCGGAUUUACUGGGCGUAAAGGAUGCGUAGGCGGAUGUUUAAGUGAGAUGUGAAAUACCCGAGCUCAACUUGGGUGCUGCAUUUCAAACUGGAUAUCUAGAGUGCAGGAGAGGAAAGCGGAAUUCCUAGUGUAGCGGUGAAAUGCGUAGAGAUUAGGAGGAACACCGAUGGCGGAAGGCAGGUCUCUGGGCUGACAC